GUGACUGAUUAAUUUAUCUCUAGUAAGUCAUUAAGCUCUUAGUAUCAAUAAUACAUGUGUGUAAAUGAUAACCAGUCAAAGCUAGUUCGUAACACUUGUAACAAACAUUUUUGUAAAUCUUUUUCUAAAAGUGGGAUAGUAAGCUUAAUGUAUAUUAAUGGUAUAAGAUAAAUAUACAUGUGGCCUGCCUUAAGAUUAGUCUAGGCUACCUGGGGGUUCAUCUGUCAUUAUAUUUAAGUUUCUAACUUAAUUAUUUUUAAUAAUAAAGUGUAGAUGUAACACAACUCAUUCACCUAAAAUUCGUGUAAAGUACUGAAAAAGGAAUAAAGUUUUGUUGUUGUGUUGUUGUUGUGAAAUAUGAACUUUGCCACCCCUUUAAUAAAUAAAUGUUGAUUCCAUCCCACCAUAUCAAUUUCAGCUGGUACGUCAGCACCUACAAAUUUGACUGUGACAUCAAGUUUAAAGGCAGAUCCUGAUGUUGGUACACCUACAAAUUCAACUGUGGCACCAAUUACAAGUUUGAAGCAAUAUCCUGAUGUUGGUAAACCUACAAAUUUGACUGUGAGUAUACCAAGUUUGAAGCCAGAUCCUGAUGCUGGUACACCUACAAAUUAUUAGACUGUGACACCAAGUUUGAAGCCAGAUCCUAAUGCUGGCAAACUUGAAUUGGGCUUGAUCGUCAGUCCUGUGGUGAGUAUCCUGCGGUACUAGUACUGAUCAUAGCUCUGUUUGCUUACCUGUACAAAAACAGAGCAAAAGAAAGAAAAGCACUUAACAGUAAUGGGAGUUACGGGAUUAGGGCAGAAGAAACAGCUAAUGUAGAGACUCUUUUAUAGCAAGAAUGCACUUUUAAGGCCAACAUCAUUAUUUUGCAUCAGCAGUAUGGGUGCAGUUUAUUAAAUACAUGUAGAAGCUAGCUUGAUCAAUUACACUCUUCUAAAUCAACCAUGAAGAUCACGCCUGACACUUUUGAAAUUAUUUAACACUGGUCUUGAUGAUUAGUCCUGAGGGAAACAGUUACUUUUGUUUCACGACAAACUCAAUUUUUUGCCGUGGGACCAGUCAUUAUGAUAUUUGUUAUAUAAAGCAGUCAACACAGACAUAAUUAGAAAUUUCAUGAGGUUGUCAGUGAACAUUCCCAGGAAACAAUGCACCAAUACGUGUUACCCUCUGAUGUCCUGGAUUUUGCUUGCUUUUGGCAGGCAAUGCAUGUAGUUUUUAUUGUCAGAUGUCAUGUGAACUUAGAGUAGCCAAAGCACUGCAUUAAUAUUCUUGACUAGUCGUUAAAGUUUUCAAGACAGUUUUCUCUAACUUUUCUCUAGCUUUUACCAACCUGAGAAUCGCAGGCCCAGGAAUUUUUCACACACAAAUAAUCCAAUCGGCAUGAAAAUAUGCUCGGUUAUUUGUACUUGGACAUUAUCUGUUCCUAAUGAAGCUCAGAGAUUUCCUUGAGCUAUAUGCGUUCGGCAAACUGUUCGCUUCUCAGAACACAUAUAUAUUAUGUCUGUGGACAAAUAUCCGAGCACAUUUUCUCACCAAAUG